UUCUUUCUCUUCUCUUUUAUGGCCAACCCCCACUCCACCCUUUUUUUCCCCUUUUUAUUCUCUUUUCCAGCCAAACCCAGCUUUCUUCUCUUUUCCGGCCAGCCCAACAAACCAAUGGCCACCCCCAGCUCCUCCGACCACCGAUCGAAACCCCCGCCCCCCAGCCACCAGCCUCCCGAUCCCCUCUGUCUCCUUUCUUUUUCCUCCCCAGUUUUACAUCCCUUCCCUAUCUUUUAUCCCAGCCCGAGCCCACUCCUCUGUCCCUUCCCUUUCCUUUUCCCAGCCCCUCCCCCUCCCCCUCCAACCCAUCCAUUUCUUCGAUUUUCAAUCGCUCACCCUCCCCACCCAUUUCGUUUCCCUUCUUUUAAGUUCCCCACUGAUUAAAAUCUCCCCUCAUUUCCCUAUUAUUUUCCCUUUCUCCCUCCAUUUUUUUUUACACAAACGGUCACCUCUCCAAUACCGAACGCCAACGCACAUUGUCGCACACUACUUUCGCCACCGCACGCACUGAAUUAUGGUAGGGUAACAUCAAGAUCGUCUAGCAAAUGAACUAAUGAGGGAAGCUAACACUUUGACUACAAAUCCCUCGAUAGAGGAUCCAAUUCUAUAACAAAACGAAAACGUGGGUGAGGGCACAGUCAAAACAUUAAUUUGGAUGUAUAUGUACAUCGACAUGGGCAGAUCCCAAUUACCAUUUCUGAGGAUGUUGGAAAACCAGUAAGCGUCUUUGCUACAAAGUUUAGCAAUGCCAUUGGGACCACGACCCGAGACACAAUUUCAUUGCGUUGUUCUAAGUGGAAGGAUGUACCUAGUGAUGUAUUACCACUAUAAAGACUCGUUUAUAGGUAAUUUUUAUGCUUUUAUUGUAUUAAUCUUGUUGGGAAUGAUGCCCUAAACUCU